CAGCUAGUUGGUGGGGUAAAGGCCCACCAAGGCUACGAUCCUUAGCUGGUCUGAGAGGAUGAUCAGCCACAUUGGGACUGAGGCACGGCCCAAACUCCUACGGGAGGCAGCAGUGGGGAAUCUUGCGCAAUGGGCGAAAGCCUGACGCAGCCAUGCCGCGUGAAUGAUGAAGGUCUUAGGAUUGUAAAAUUCUUUCACCGGGGACGAUAAUGACGGUACCCGGAGAAGAAGCCCCGGCUAACUUCGUGCCAGCAGCCGCGGUAAUACGAAGGGGGCUAGCGUUGCUCGGAAUUACUGGGCGUAAAGGGAGCGUAGGCGGAUAGUUUAGUCAGAGGUGAAAGCCCAGGGCUCAACCUUGGAAUUGCCUUUGAUACUGGCUAUCUUGAGUACGGAAGAGGUAUGUGGAACUCCGAGUGUAGAGGUGAAAUUCGUAGAUAUUCGGAAGAACACCAGUGGCGAAGGCGACAUACUGGUCCGUUACUGACGCUGAGGCUCGAAAGCGUGGGGAGCAAACAGGAUUAGAUACCCUGGUAGUCCACGCUGUAAACGAUGAGUGCUAGUUGUCGGCA
rnacentral:rRNA from 1 species